GGGGAUGUAGCUCAGUGAUAGAGCACUUGCCCAGGAUUCAUGAGGCCCUGGGCUCAUCUCCCAGCACACCUU
rnacentral:tRNA from 1 species